ACAGAUUUUUUUUCGAGCCCGGACGAAUCAGAGUCAGAAUUGACGCUCCACCUGAUAGGGGUCUGUUGGGCAGUUAGAUAAAUCUCAUCUGUUUAGGGAAAUGAAAUUACGUUGAUUAUAUCUGUUAUGAGUAUGUUAGAAAGUAACAGACGGGUAGGAAAUGUCCGGAGAUUAGUAUAUUUGGUAUUAAUGAGUAUUGGUAAAAUUAAAUGGUGAGAUUUAGAUAACUGCGAUCCCAUUUUUCUCCAAAUCUGCAUAGCUGAAGACUACUUGUUCAAAUCUCAGGCUGAAAAGAAUAUUUUUUUUUAAUUUGACUUUAUUUUAGAAUAUUUUUUUCUGUAUGCUGUCAAUUUUUGCAAUGUUUUUUUGUUUUUCAAUUUGAGCCAAAAUUUAUGAAUAUGGUGUUAUGUUCAAGUACAUGCCUAAAAUCAAAUUGGAAAGGAUAAUAAUUGAAAAUUGACAACGCAAGAAUGAUUGCAAUAAGAGCACCGUGAAAUCAAAACGAAAAAAAAAACGACUCGCCAUUGAGACUAUAGAGAGGUCCAAACGUAUUGAAAGAGGAAAGGAAAAAUUUAACUUCAUGAGUACAUUAACAAUAACCUGCAAAGAAUACCAGUUCACGCCAUAAAGUCCCAAAAGGUUCCAAGCUCAACACAGGAGUUCAAAGCAACAGGCUAUUAGUUGGUAAGGAAUAUGAACCUAAUCCUCUCUAAUAUAAAGUCUGGUUUCUGUUUUAAAAAUAAAAAAAAUUAUUGAAUCGACAAAAAAAAUUAAAGUUUGGAACUGGAAAUGAUUCAAGGGUUGGAGUUAUUAAUCCCUUUGGCGUAGCAGGGAACUAAUUCCACUUAGAGAGUUAGAGUUAGUUCUCGCUCCGUGGGAACGAAAUAAUUUUUAGUAAACUGGAUUUAGUUUCUAUGCUAGGAAUUCCGGCGAUUUUAGAUUUCCAUUUUACAAAAGAGCUGCAACACAAAAUGACACGUACUAUAUAUAAACAUCCAACUUUUUAAUAGCCUUUUUUAGUAACUCAAAAACUAAGCGAAGUUUAAAUAAAUUUAAAUUUGUAUUAAAACCUAUUAUACAACAUGAGGAUUUUGUGGCGAUCUCUUAAAAAAUGCAUUAUAUUGAAUAAAAAGGUUAUUGUUCAGGUUUUUGCGUUUAUUGGCUUGAUUUACACAUUGACAUUGCUCGCAAAAUUUAAUUGGAAAUUCUAAUUCAACCCGCAGUUUGGUUAUUUGUCAAUAUUCACUCCUUUAAUUAAAAAUACAUAUUUUCUUCUACUUUUAU